ACACGUCAUACAAUGGUCGGUACAGAGGGUUGCCAAGCCGCGAGGCGGAGCCAAUCCCACAAAGCCGAUCGUAGUCCGGAUUGUUCUCUGCAACUCGAGAGCAUGAAGUCGGAAUCGCUAGUAAUCGCAGGUCAGCAUACUGCGGUGAAUACGUUCCCGGGUCUU
rnacentral:rRNA from 1 species